rnacentral:lncRNA from 1 species
AAAAGCUCAAGAAUUUCAGAGUUUGGUUCAAGCUUUUGCAAGGGCUUUAAUCUUUGUGGAAAUGGUGCUGGAAAAGGACAUUUGAUUUUUUCAGUAGAUGUUGGUGCUUCAGUUUCUUCGUUAUCCUUUUCUUUUGUCUUGGGAGGGUCAGAAUCAGGUAUGACUUGUGUUUGUUCUGGAACUGGUCGAUCAAUAACUUUUCCACUUCGCAAAGUUAUUAUACUCUUCGCUUGUUCUUUAUGCGAAGUUGAAGAUGAUGCAUUGCUACCGCCAUAGACUUGAGGGUUAGGUUGUGGUUGAGCUGGUAGCUUACCCUUCUCUUGAGCACUUAAAGCAGUGGUCAGCGUUGUCAGUUGAUUU